rnacentral:rRNA from 1 species
GACGAACGUUGGCGGCGUGCUUAACACAUGCAAGUCGAACGGAAAGGCCCUGCUUUUGUGGGGUGCUCGAGUGGCGAACGGGUGAGUAACACGUGAGUAACCUGCCCUUGACUUUGGGAUAACUUCAGGAAACUGGGGCUAAUACCGGAUAGGAGCUCCUGCUGCAUGGUGGGGGUUGGAAAGUUUCGGCGGUUGGGGAUGGACUCGCGGCUUAUCAGCUUGUUGGUGGGGUAGUGGCUUACCAAGGCUUUGACGGGUAGCCGGCCUGAGAGGGUGACCGGCCACAUUGGGACUGAGAUACGGCCCAGACUCCUACGGGAGGCAGCAGUGGGGAAUAUUGCACAAUGGGCGGAAGCCUGAUGCAGCAACGCCGCGUGCGGGAUGACGGCCUUCGGGUUGUAAACCGCUUUCGCCUGUGACGAAGCGUGAGUGACGGUAAUGGGUAAAGAAGCACCGGCUAACUACGUGCCAGCAGCCGCGGUGAUACGUAGGGUGCGAGCGUUGUCCGGAUUUAUUGGGCGCAAAGGGCUCGUAGGUGGUUGAUCGCGUCGGAAGUGUAAUCUUGGGGCUUAACCCUGAGCGUGCUUUCGAUACGGGUUGACUUGAGGAAGGUAGGGGAGAAUGGAAUUCCUGGUGGAGCGGUGGAAUGCGCAGAUAUCAGGAGGAACACCAGUGGCGAAGGCGGUUCUCUGGGCCUUUCCUGACGCUGAGGAGCGAAAGCGUGGGGAGCGAACAGGCUUAGAUACCCUGGUAGUCCACGCUGUAAACGGUGGGUACUAGGUGUGGGGUCCAUUCCACGGGUUCCGUGCCGUAGCUAACGCUUUAAGUACCCCGCCUGGGGAGUACGGCCGCAAGGCUAAAACUCAAAGGAAUUGACGGGGCCCCGCACAAGCGGCGGAGCAUGCGGAUUAAUUCGAUGCAACGCGUAGAACCUUACCUGGGUUUGACAUGGAUCGGGAGUGCUCAGAGAUGGGUGUGCCUCUUUUGGGGUCGGUUCACAGGUGGUGCAUGGCUGUCGUCAGCUCGUGUCGUGAGAUGUUGGGUUAAGUCCCGCAACGAGCGCAACCCUUGUUCACUGUUGCCAGCACGUUAUGGUGGGGACUCAGUGGAGACCGCCGGGGUCAACUCGGAGGAAGGUGGGGAUGACGUCAAGUCAUCAUGCCCCUUAUGUCCAGGGCUUCACGCAUGCUACAAUGGCUGGUACAGAGAGUGGCGAGCCUGUGAGGGUGAGCGAAUCUCGGAAAGCCGGUCUCAGUUCGGAUUGGGGUCUGCAACUCGACCUCAUGAAGUCGGAGUCGCUAGUAAUCGCAGAUCAGCAACGCUGCGGUGAAUACGUUCCCGGGGCU